AUGGGAAAGUCCGGGACACCCCUUCCCCCUGAAGGAUACUCAAGAGAGAGCCAAGGAGGGUUCGGGACUGGGAAUCUUCCCACCCCCACCCAACCAUCCCCCCUGGCUCCGGCCCUGGUGCAUCACGGUCCUCCGAGGACGGAACCGAAAGCUAGCGGCGAAUCUUGGUCCCUCUCUCCGAAGCUGAUCGGGCCCGGGGACUGUCGGCGCAUAGGACUCGGGGCCGCUGGCUGCCGCGGCUGGGGGUCCAUACCCCCUGCCGACUCUCCCUGCCCCGCACCGGCGGCUGCAAAGUCCUGCCCCCCGGGGUUGGGGAAGGCCAGGGACGGGUUCCCAGCCGCCCCCCACCCCCAUCCAAAGCGGCUUCAGCGACUCCCGGGUGCCGCCGCCGGCGCUUCCUCCUCCGGCUCCCGCCGCCGCCGCUGCUCCCCGGACCGGCCGGGCGGCCGGGCCGUGGUCCCGGAGCUCUGCAGCGGGGGCGCGUCCUGCGGCGCCUCGAUCCUCGUGGGGGCUGUGGCGUUGGAGCCCCCAGUCGCUCCCCCCCGGGGUCCCAGCCGGCGCCGUGGCUGUGGCCGUGGCGUUGGAGGGGCCGGGAGGCGGGCCGCCGCCGGGAGCCCCCGAGGUGCCGGCCCCCACCGGCUGCCAGAUGAGGCUAUAGUAGACGGCGAGCACGAUGGCAGCCAGGGACACGGACAGCACGUAGGCGAACACGGUGGCGAGCCGGACCCACUUCUUGUUGGUCUUGGCCGCCAUCUUCGCCUUCUUGUCCCCGGUGUAGGUGGCCGGCUUGCCCCGCUCGGCCAGGGCCGAGUCGCGCUCCUUCAUGGGGGGGCCCCGGCCUUUGCCCCGGUGCUCCACGGCCCCGGCUGCUGGGGGCCCCGGAGGGCUGGCGAGGACUCGGAGGCGUGGGGCCGGACUGCACUGGGGGGCGGCCUGGCGCCCUCACGACCCCGCGGGCUUCUGGCUCCGGCCGCCGCCGCCGCCAGCCCCAGCCACCUUGUCGCUGCUGCCGGGGCCUGA
rnacentral:lncRNA from 1 species